UUUUUUUUUUUUCCUGCUGCCGCCUAUACUGCCUCUCUCCCAUAGGAAGAACACUACCUCUGGGUAGCCAGGAGCUGAGAUGCAGUCUGAAUGUUCACGGUGGCUUCUGACGUGGCAGCGUGAAUUCUCAGCUGGGCAGAGCCUAAGAGAGAUCAUUGUGGAUGUGGCUUUUAAUGAUUUGCGGGAGAAAAAGAAAAAGAAAAAGAAAAAUGACAGCCUGUGGAGACGCCGAUUGGAGAAAGCAGCACACUGUGGUUAUUGCCAAUUUGAAAUACUGGGUUUGUGAAGCCAAGCCCUAAGGGAGUAGCCGGGUAACUGAGAAAGAGAUCGUAGAUAAAGAAAUAAAAAUGACAAGCGUAAUGGAGGCUGUGCGAAGGGACUGUCAGAGCAUCCGUUCAUGGAUGGCAAUCUUGCCAGGCAGAGAUUGAAUAAUUCAUAGAUGGAAACUACCCUGCCUUCACCUUCCCAUUUAAACCGGGCAUGAGCUGAAUCUCUAAUAAAAUUUCAAGAUAAAGUAAAA
ensembl:lincRNA A330102I10Rik RIKEN cDNA A330102I10 gene